GUCUACGGCCAUGCUACUCUGAACAGGCCCGAUCCCAUCUGAUAUCGAAAGCUAAGCAGGGUUGGAUUUGGUUAGUACUUGGAUGGGAGACCACCUAGGAAGACCAGGUGCUGUAGGCG
rnacentral:rRNA from 1 species